rnacentral:lncRNA from 1 species
AAAAAUCACAAAUAUAUGCAACUAAAAUAAAAAAUAUCUUAUAAAAGUUGACUUUAAAGCUGUUGAAUAUAUGCAAAUUAAAUAUGCUAUAAAUAGAAAUAUAUGAAUUUAGAUUUUGUGAUUUUCUAUGAAUUUAGAAUGUGAGUUCUAUUGAAUGAUUUUGUAUUUGUAAGAGAAGUGAAGAAGAAAGAAUUCAUAGCAAGAUUUAUGGCAUCCAAUAUAUAAUCAUGAAAUAGCAA